UACGGAGGGUGCGAGCGUUGCCCGGAUUUAUUGGGCGUAAAGGGCGCGUAGGCGGUCACGCACGUCCGUUGUGAAAUCGCUCGGCUCAACUGGGCGGGGUCAGCGGAUACGGCGUGGCUGGAGCAAGCUAGGGGGCAAUGGAAUUCCCGGUGUAGUGGUGGAAUGCGUAGAUAUCGGGAGGAACACCAGUGGCGAAGGCGGUUGCCUGGAGCUUUGCUGACGCUGAUGCGCGAAAGCGUGGGGAGCGAUCCGG
rnacentral:rRNA from 1 species